rnacentral:ncRNA from 2 species
AUACGUGCUCCGGGGUCGGUGUAAGUCCGAACCGGCGGUGACAGUCCGCGACCCGCGCGCCAGCGCCCUCCCUCGGGAAGGAAGCCGGCAAACGGUUGAACCGGUGAAAUUCCGGUACCGACAGUUAAAGUCUGGAUGAGAGAAGCACGUAC